ACGAACGCUGGCGGCGUGCCUAAUACAUGCAAGUCGAACGGUCUUUUCUAUGGAAGCUUGCUUCACUGAGAAGAUAGUGGCGAACGGGUGAGUAACACGUGGGUAACCUGCCCAUAAGAGGGGGGAUAACAUCCGGAAACGGGUGCUAAUACCGCAUAGUUUUCUUGAUCGCAUGAUCGGGAAAGGAAAGACGGCCUUUGUGCUGUCGCUUAUGGAUGGACCCGCGGCGUAUUAGUUAGUUGGUGAGGUAACGGCUCACCAAGACGAUGAUACGUAGCCGACCUGAGAGGGUGAUCGGCCACAUUGGGACUGAGACACGGCCCAAACUCCUACGGGAGGCAGCAGUAGGGAAUCUUCCGCAAUGGACGAAAGUCUGACGGAGCAACGCCGCGUGAGUGAAAGAAGGUUUUCGGAUCGUAAAACUCUGUUGUCAGAGGAGAACAAGUUGGAGAGUAACUGCUCCAGCCUUGACGGUAUCUGACCAGAAAGCCACGGCUAACUACGUGCCAGCCGCCGC
rnacentral:rRNA from 1 species